rnacentral:rRNA from 1 species
CGAACAAGUACNGUGAGGGAAAGUUGAAAAGAACUUUGAAGAGAGAGUUCAAGAGUACGUGAAACCGUUCAGGGGUAAACCUAAGAAACCCAAAAGAUCGAACGGGGAGAUUCAUCGUCAGCGACGCUGGCUUCGCGUCGGUGGGCGAUGUCCCGCGGGGUCCUUGCAGCCCGUUCAGCGCUGACACGCUACCGUGCGUCGAUGUCCGGCGUUCGUCGUCGUGCACUUCUCCCCUAGUAGAAUGUCGUGACCCGCUGGGUGUCGGUCUACGGCCCGGGUGCGGUGACUGACGCNUCGCGGGUAAAACGGCACGCGUCAAACUCGGUCGCCCAGC